CUCAGUGUACUUGUUCUCUAUUAAACACCUAUAUGUUUGUUCUAGUGUCCCUACACUAUUGACUUGAGAUUCGUCAUCUCAAUUAGAAAUAUAACAUACAUCGAUCUAUCCAAAAUAUCACCGUCCUUUCAAUAUUUCUUCGGCUAGGAGCAUUUAAAAAGUCUCAUACAGAAAAAUAUAUAUCUUAAAUUACUAACUCUUAUAAAUAUAUCUUUUCAAAUAAAGACCUUAUGGACAAUUCACGUUAAUAUUAUAUUACUAUACAAUAAAAAUAAAUAAAAUAUCUGUCCUCAUGAAUUAUAAAUAAUUAAUAUAUAAAUA
rnacentral:lncRNA from 1 species